UUCAUUAUAUAGGAUUUUCCUCUCUUUUCAAAAGAGUUGUGAUGUUUAGUAGAGACCUAGAAAAUUAUCAAUGGGAAGGGACAGGAUUUCACUGUAUAUUACAUUACUUGUCAGAAACACAGCAACAGAAGUGGUUUGGCAGUGUUUUCUUCCAUAAAAAUCAUUGCAAAUGUAUCAGGCCAAAGAGAUAACUGAUACUCUGGCCUCAAGCUUUUUGUUCUUGUGGGGUUUUUUACUGUAAGGCUCAUUGUAAACAAAUAAAUAGCUCAUAUAGAUGCCACAAAUGCUUACUAUUUUUAGACCAAGGAUCAUGUUAAGUGCUAUAUAUUGUCUUUGGUAUGUGGUAGAGCUAAAUUUGAUUAACCUGCUCUUACUACAGGCCUCUCUCAUUUAUAUAUCUGUUGAUUCCACCUCUAGCAGAAAAAGUCUUUCAUAGGACUUGCAGCUGUCUGCUGUACCUCCAUCCUAGGAAAGAGGGAUGCUUCACCAAGGCAGUAUGACUCAAAAUGUUACCUUGCCAGCAGGUUUGUUUGCCCAGGUCCGUUUUUACUGCUUCGCUUACCCUGCUGUGGGUCAAGCAGCCCUGGAGGGAUUGUUUCUCUCAGCACAUCUCCUCUGUCAGACCCAGGCACUGUGCUUCCCCGGGACAGCAGCCCUGUUCACAGGCUCGGGGCUCCAGAGCAGAGCGCUCACCCGGGCAGGGGGGUGUGUUGCCACGGGGCUGCUCCACUGCACUGCUGCCACGUCUCUGCGUGGUGUGACGUGAGCUGCUCUUCACAGCAUCCUCCUCCCAGCAGGGAUGCAUGGAGAGCCUCACACUGCACAGCCCCUGUGCAGCCUCAGCAUCCUCCUCCCAGCAGGGAUGCAUGGAGAGCCUCACACUGCACAGCCCCUGUGCAGCCUCAGCAUCCUCCUCCCAGCAGGGAUGCAUGGAGAGCCUCACACUGCACAGCCCCUGUGCAGCCUCAGCCCAGCCACAAGGAAGGAAACCAGAGACAGUGACUGCAGCACUCACACACAAAGGCAAAUAAUGUCAAGCUAGUAGGCAGUUGUUUGUUUACCUGUUUAUUCUAAAUGUGCCAGAGAGGAUGUCAAAUUUAAAUCCAAGGCAUAUCACUGUAACCUAAGCAACUGUAACCAUUACAGACACUUCACACUUGAAUAGUUUCCCUACCUUAAAUUUCUCCUUCAUUUUUCUAGUUCCAAUUUCCUGGAGGGGAGAGAGGGAAGAGCAGAAUUUUGGAAUGAAUUUUAAGUGGAAUUUAACACUUAGCAGAUUUCUGGAAACCUGGAUGGUCAGCUCUUGUUGCAGAUGCCCCAGAGCACUCCAAGGAGUCCCUCAGAUUCAAGAUCCGAAUACAGCAUUAGGGAACAUCUCUGAUGUGAGCAGUCACCAGGAAAAGGACAGAGGCUUUGUUUUCUAUACAUGAACACAAAUUGGACUGAGUCUUUUCGAAGAUUUGGAUAUACUUCGUCAGUGUUGGCAGCUCAGAUUUUGCAAGAUCAUGCCACUGCAUAAGAAGCAGCAAGUGGAAUGUGGAGAUAAAAGCAACCAUUUUCUAUCAAAGAAAAGUUGCAUUCUUUCUGUAAAGAAAUAACUUGA